rnacentral:rRNA from 1 species
UACGUAGGUGGCAAGCGUUAUCCGGAAUUACUGGGCGUAAAGCGCACGCAGGCGGUCUUUUAAGUUUGACGUGAAAGCUCCCGGCUUAACUGGGAGAGGUCGUUGAAGACUGGAAGACUUGAGGCAAUGAGAGGGGUGUAGAAUUCCCGGUGUAGUGGUGGAAUGCGUAGAUAUCGGGAGGAACACCAGUGGCGAAGGCGGCUUCCUGGCCUGUUCUUGACGCUGAGGCGCGAAAGCUAGGGGAGCAAACGGG